rnacentral:rRNA from 1 species
UACAGAGGGGGCAAGCGUUAUUCGGUAAUUAUUGGGCGUAAAGGGCGCGUAGGCGGCCCUGGCAAGUGACGGGAUGAAAGCCCUCGGCUUAACCCGAGGAACUGCCUGUCAGACGUGUUAGGCUUGAGACCGGGAGAGGUGAGUGGAAUUCCCGAGUGUAGCGGUGAAAUGCGUAGAUAUUGGGAGGAACACCGGUGGCGAAGGCGGCUCUCUGGGCCUUACCGUGACGCUGAGGAGCGAAAGCGUGGGUAGCGAACGAGG